rnacentral:lncRNA from 1 species
AUAGUAGGAGUUUUGCCAUUUAAAAAAAAUGGACAGUUUAUUCCAACUUUUGGCUUAUUCUAAUAUUUUGGAUAACCAAACAAAUUUGGCAUAAACACAUGGUAUCAAGGUUUGUCGUACUAAUAGAUACCGUAUUGUACCGGAUAUAUUGUACCGUAUCAGCCGUACUGUACUAGACCGGUAUGCAAUCUUGUAUCAUAUGGAUACUCGAUAUGCCUUACUAUCUUGUACUAUACCGCAUACCGAUACUAUAAUAGGAUGGUACUGGUAUAGAAUCCGGUACCAAGGCGGCGAACCUUUCCUGUCAUAGCUAUGCCACUUAGCAUGACUUUCCUCGUUCCCAUUUUCCUUGUGCUC